rnacentral:rRNA from 1 species
UACAGGGGGGGCAAGCGUUGUUCGGAAUUACUGGGCGUAAAGGGCCAGUAGGCGGCCAACUAAGUCAGACGUGAAAUCCCUCGGCUUAACCGGGGAACUGCGUCUGAUACUGGAUGGCUUGAGUUUGGGAGAGGGAUGCGGAAUUCCAGGUGUAGCGGUGAAAUGCGUAGAUAUCUGGAGGAACACCGGUGGCGAAGGCGGCAUCCUGGACCAACACUGACACUGAGGAGCGAAAGCCAGGGGAGCAAACGGG